AGACUGUCCUCACACUGUCACCCAGGCUGGAGUGCACUGGCGCGAUCUCGGCUCACUGCAACCUCUGCCUCCUGGGUUCAAGCGAUUCUCCUGCCUUAGCCGUGAUGUUCAGUUUCUAAUACUGAAGAGGAGAUUAGGACAUCAAGAGACACCAAGAGUAACCAUGUACAGAGAAAAACAUCAUAUGAAGACACAGCAAGAAGGUGGCCAUCUGUAAGCCAAAGAGAGGCCUCAGAAGAAACCAAAUCUGCUAACACAAUCAUGGACUUUCAGCCUCCAGGACUGUGUGAAAAUAAAUUUCUGCUGUUUAAGCCACCCCAGUGUCUGGAAUUCUAUGGCAGCCCUAGCAAAUAAAUACAACUACUAUCAGUAUUAUUUGUCUUUUUAUAUUACUCUACAGUGUCAAGCCAAAUUUAAUUUUUAAAAUAAUGAUAUCUCAUAUCCACUUAAGCUAAAUAGGGCCCAGGAUUUCAUUCUUGGGUAUAUAUCUAAGAAAAAUGUAUGCUGAUAUUCACUAUAAAUAUAUUCAUACCAGCUUUAUUCAUAAUAGCCCCAAACUGGAAACAACUGAAAUGCCCAUCAUGAAAUAGGAUAAAUAAAUUGUGGUAUGUUCACACAGUGGAAUAUAAUACAGCUCUAAUGGAAAAACAAAAGCUGAUACAUGAAAGAAACAGGAUGAAUCUCAAAAUAGAUUUUUUAAAUUUUUUUAACUUUUGUGGGUAAUAGUUGGUAUGUGCAUUUAUGGGGUACAUGAGAUAUUUUGAUACAGGC
rnacentral:lncRNA from 10 species